UACGGGGGGAGCAAGCGUUGUUCGGAUUUACUGGGCGUAAAGGGCGCGUAGGCGGCCAGCACAAGUCAGUUGUGAAAUCUCCGGGCUUAACUCGGAAAGGUCAACUGAUACUGUGCGACUAGAGUGCAGAAGGGGCAACUGGAAUUCUCGGUGUAGCGGUGAAAUGCGUAGAUAUCGAGAGGAACACCUGCGGCGAAGGCGGGUUGCUGGGCUGACACUGACGCUGAGGCGCGAAGGCGUGGGGGAGCGAACGGG
rnacentral:rRNA from 1 species